ACACAACCAUCACACCAGAACACAAACACAGAGCAGAGCAUCACAGCAAGAGGAGUGAUCUGAUCGAGAUGGCCGCCGCCACCAUGGCUCUCACCUCCCGCGCGCUCGUCGGCAAGCCGGCGGCCAGCACCAAGGACGUGUUCGGCGAGGGCCGCAUCACGAUGCGCAAGACCGGUGGCGCCAAGCCGAAGCCCGCGGCGUCCGGCAGCCCGUGGUACGGGCCCGACCGCGUCCUGUACCUCGGCCCGCUCUCCGGCGAGCCCCCGAGCUACCUGACCGGCGAGUUCCCCGGUGACUACGGCUGGGACACCGCCGGGCUCUCGGCCGACCCCGAGACCUUCGCCAAGAACCGCGAGCUGGAGGUCAUCCACUCCCGCUGGGCCAUGCUCGGCGCGCUCGGCUGCGUCUUCCCCGAGCUGCUCGCCCGCAACGGCGUCAAGUUCGGCGAGGCCGUCUGGUUCAAGGCGGGUUCCCAGAUCUUCAGCGAGGGCGGCCUUGACUACCUCGGCAACCCGAGCCUGAUCCAUGCGCAGAGCAUCCUCGCCAUCUGGGCCUGCCAGGUCGUGCUCAUGGGCGCCGUCGAGGGGUACCGCAUUGCCGGCGGCCCGCUCGGCGAGGUCGUCGACCCGCUCUACCCCGGCGGCAGCUUCGACCCGCUGGGGCUCGCCGACGACCCCGAGGCCUUCGCCGAGCUCAAGGUCAAGGAGCUCAAGAACGGCCGCCUCGCCAUGUUCUCCAUGUUCGGGUUCUUCGUGCAGGCCAUCGUCACCGGCAAGGGGCCCCUGGAGAACCUCGCCGACCACCUCGCCGACCCCGUCAACAACAACGCCUGGGCCUACGCCACCAACUUCGUCCCCGGCAAGUGAAUGAGCGAGGAUGGGCAUGGGUGGAUGACGCGCACGGCGAGGUGAAGCGACCGGCCGGAGGUGGGGUCGCCGUAGACGUAUGUAUUCGUAUGUACUGCAAACGUGUACGAGUAUUUGUGAAGGAAGGAACCCUGGGACCACAGGUUGUUGUACCAGUAGUGUAUUUG
rnacentral:lncRNA from 1 species